rnacentral:rRNA from 1 species
UACAGAGGUCUCAAGCGUUGUUCGGAUUCAUUGGGCGUAAAGGGUGCGUAGGUGGCGGGGUAAGUCGGAUGUGAAAGCUCGGAGCUCAACUCCGAAAUGGCAUUGGAAACUACCUUGCUCGAGGGUUGGAGGGGGGACUGGAAUACUUGGUGUAGCAGUGAAAUGCGUAGAUAUCAAGUGGAACACCAGUGGCGAAGGCGAGUCCCUGGACAACUCCUGACACUGAGGCACGAAAGCUAGGGGAGCAAACAGG